rnacentral:rRNA from 1 species
UACGUAGGGUGCAAGCGUUAAUCGGAAUUACUGGGCGUAAAGCGUGCGCAGGCGGUGAUGCAAGACAGAUGUGAAAUCCCCGGGCUUAACCUGGGAACUGCAUUUGUGACUGCAUUGCUGGAGUGCGGCAGAGGGGGAUGGAAUUCUGCGUGUAGCAGUGAAAUGCGUAGAUAUGCGGAGGAACACCGAUGGCGAAGGCAAUCCCCUGGGCCUGCACUGACGCUCAUGCACGAAAGCGUGGGGAGCAAACAGG